rnacentral:rRNA from 1 species
GCAGUCGAACGGGUAACAUUAUUAAAAGCUUGCUUUUAAUAGAUGACGAGUGGCGGACGGGUGCGUAACGCGUAGGAAUCUGCCCUAAAGAGGGGGAUAACCUAGGGAAACUUAGGCUAAUACCGCAUAAACUCUACGGAGCAAAGGUCAUAGCUUGCUAUGGUCACUUUAGGAUGAGCCUGCGUUGGAUUAGUUUGUUGUUAGGGUAAAAGCCUAACAAGACGAAGAUCCAUAGCUGUUCUGAGAGGAAGAUCAGCCACACUGGGACUGAGACACGGCCCAGACUCCUACGGGAGGCAGCAGUGGGGAAUAUUGGACAAUGGGCGCAAGCCUGAUCCAGCAAUGCCGCGUGUGUGAAGAAGGCCUGAGGGUUGUAAAGCACUUUUAAGAUGGAAGAAGUUGCAGCAAUGUAAUUGACGUUACAUCUAGAAAAAGCACCGGCUAACUCUGUGCCAGCAGCCGCGGUAAUACAGAGGGUGCAAGCGUUAAUCGGAAUAAUUGGGCGUAAAGGGUGCGUAGGUGGUAAUUUAAGUCUUAUGUGAAAGUCAAUGGCUCAACCAUUGAAAGCCAUAAGAAACUGAAUUUCUAGAGUACUGUAGAGGGUAGUGGAAUUUCUGGUGUAGCGGUGAAAUGCGUAGAUAUCAGAAGGAACAUCAGUGGCGAAGGCGACUACCUGGACGGAUACUGACACUGAGGCACGAAAGCGUGGGUAGCGAACAGGAUUAGAUACCCUGGUAGUCCACGCCGUAAACGAUGAGUAUUAGCUGUUAAUAUCGAGAGGUAUUAGUGGCGUAGCUAACGUGAUAAAUACUCCGCCUGGG